rnacentral:rRNA from 1 species
UACGGGGGGGGCAAGCGUUGUUCGGAAUUACUGGGCGUAAAGGGCUCGUAGGCGGCCAACUAAGUCAGACGUGAAAUCCCUCGGCUUAACCGGGGAACUGCGUCUGAUACUGGAUGGCUUGAGGUUGGGAGAGGGAUGCGGAAUUCCAGGUGUAGCGGUGAAAUGCGUAGAUAUCUGGAGGAACACCGGAUGGCGAAGGCGCAGCCCUCGGUCGAA